rnacentral:rRNA from 1 species
GAGUGGCGAACGGGUGAGUAACACGUGGGUAACCUGCCCAUCAGAAGGGGAUAACACUUGGAAACAGGUGCUAAUACCGUAUAACAAUCAAAACCGCAUGGUUUUGAUUUGAAAGGCGCUUUCGGGUGUCGCUGAUGGAUGGACCCGCGGUGCAUUAGCUAGUUGGUGAGGUAACGGCUCACCAAGGCCACGAUGCAUAGCCGACCUGAGAGGGUGA